rnacentral:rRNA from 1 species
UACGUAGGGGGCAAGCGUUGUCCGGAUUUAUUGGGCGUAAAGAGCUCGUAGGCGGUUUGUUGCGUCGGCUGUGAAAUCCCGAGGCUCAACCUCGGGUCUGCAGUCGAUACGAGCAAACUAGAGUGUUGCAGGGGGGACUGGAAUUCCUGGUGUAGCGGUGAAAUGCGCAGAUAUCAGGAGGAACACCGGUGGCGAAGGCGGGUCUCUGGGCAACAACUGACGCUGAGGAGCGAAAGCGUGGGGAGCGAACAGG